rnacentral:rRNA from 1 species
GUAUGUGGCCAUAUCAGUCUGAAUGUGCCUGAUCUCCUCUGAUGUCAGAAACUGAGUAACCAGCUGGGCUGGCUUAGCAUUUGGGAGGGAAAAGGAACUUUCAUAAA